AGCGUAGACGGAUGGACAAGUCUGAUGUGAAAGGGCUGGGGCUCAACCCCGGGACUGCAUUGGAAACUGCCCGUCUUGAGUGCCGGAGAGGUAAGCGGAAUUCCUAGUGUAGCGGUGAAAUGCGUAGAUAUUAGGAGGAACACCAGUGGCGAAGGCGGCUUACUGGACGGUAACUGACGUUGAGGCUCGAAAGCGUGGGGAGCAAACA
rnacentral:rRNA from 1 species